UACGAAGGGGGCUAGCGUUGUUCGGAAUCACUGGGCGUAAAGCGCACGUAGGCGGAUCUUUAAGUCAGGGGUGAAAUCCCGAGGCUCAACCUCGGAACUGCCUUUGAUACUGGGGAUCUCGAGUCCGGGAGAGGUGAGUGGGACUGCGAGUGUAGAGGUGAAAUUCGUAGAUAUUCGCAAGAACACCAGUGGCGAAGGCGGCUCACUGGCCCGGAACUGACGCUGAGGUGCGAAAGCGUGGGGAGCAAACAGG
rnacentral:rRNA from 1 species